AUAUUUCACCAUGGGGGCAACCCUGAUGCAGCGACGCCGCGUGAGUGAAGAAGUAUUUCGGUAUGUACCGCUCUAUCAGCAGUGAAGCAAAUGACGGUACCUGACUAAGAAGCUCCGGCUAACUACGUGCCAGCAGCCGCGGUAAUACGUAGGGGGCAAGCGUUAUCCGGAUUCACUGGGUGUAAAGGGAGCGUAGGUGUCGAGUCAAGUCAGAUGUGAAAGCCCGGGGCUCAACCCCGGGAUUGCAUUUGAAACUGGUUUGCUAGAGUGCAGGAGAGGUAAGUGGAAUUCCUAGUGUAGCGGUGAAAUGCGUAGAUAUUAGGAGGAACACCAGUGGCGAAGGCGGCUUACUGGACUGUAACUGACACUGAGGCUCGAAAGCGUGGGGAGCAAACA
rnacentral:rRNA from 1 species